GACGAACCGUGCAAACGUUAUUCGGAAUCACUGGGCAUAAAGGGUACGUAGGCGGUAUAUGUAAUCAUAUUAUUAAUCACAUGUGUGUGGAUUUGAUAUUUAUAUACUAGAGUUUGAAGGGAGUAACAGACACAACAAGAGUAGUGUAGUAAUACUAGUAUACUUGAGGGGUCUCAUAGCGGCGAAGGCGUGUUACUAUGUAAGACUGACGCUGAGGUACGAAGGCAUGGGUAUCGAUUGGG
rnacentral:rRNA from 1 species